rnacentral:rRNA from 1 species
UACGUAGGAGGCGAGCGUUGUCCGGAUUUAUUGGGCGUAAAGGGCGCGCAGGCGGCACUAUAAGUUAGAUGUGAAAUCUCCCGGCUCAACUGGGAGGGAGCAUUUGAUACUGUAGAGCUGGAGUGCAGCAGAGGGAGAUGGAAUUCCCGGUGUAGUGGUGAAAUGCGUAGAUAUCGGGAGGAACACCAGUGGCGAAAGCGGUCUUCUGGGCUGUAACUGACGCUGAGGCGCGAAAGCGUGGGGAGCGAAC